rnacentral:tRNA from 1 species
GCGGCUUUAAAGGGGGCUAGCAAUACUGGCAGUGUUGAGGUCAGCGGUUCGAUCCCGCUAGGCUCCACCA